UUAAUAUUAAUAUAAAUAUUUAAAUAAAAUAAAUAUUUGUUCCAUUACGGUCCUCUUGACGUGGUGGAUGAAAAAAUAAUAUUAUAUCAACACUGGCCUACAUGAACAAUUGGAUUUUCACGUGGGAGUAUGCACUGAAUUAUUAACUUGUCGUUUCUUCUUAUUUAAAACUUUGUAUCUUUUCUAAUUUCUUCAUUGUUGUCUUCUUGAUUGUGUUUUAGUUUACUGUUUCAGGAAAAUUUCAAGUGGUCACUGGAGGGUGAAAGAAUAAAUACAUACCAAGAGUGUUAAAAAAAUGGGUAACCUGAAUUGAAAACGACACAAUUUGAAUUAAAUAAAAGUAAUAAUAGACAAAAGACCAAACAAUCAACUAACUGUCAGUUUAAUGAAGAAACUCUAUGGGUUUCCGGGAACGUAACUUAGUCAGCUACUCCCUGGUACAAUGGCAUUAAUAUAAAUGUUGCGAUCAGGGAGACCGGUAUUAUGAAUAUAGUGCCGCAACAGGCGGGUGACUCGAUUUAUGUCACGCAAUAUGUAUACAAUUGUAUUCCAAGCUACUGAACCUCGAGGGAGGAACAUUGGACUGUUUUCCUGGGAUUUUUCUUCACCAGUAUCAACAAUAUCAAUAUACAUUUGUACAAACACACACAUAGAGAACGCAUUCCUACACAAAUCUAUUACAAUUUCAUUUUCAUUGUACUAUUAAUAAAUAUUAUUACAUUUUAUUGA
rnacentral:lncRNA from 1 species